UGUGUUCUGCAUCCUGCCAGAGGCCGGGGGUGAGGGUGGCACGCUGUUCGCCACGCUGGCGACGCCUCCGCUGUAACGUAUACCAUCAAACCACGGUCAAUUACGCUUUACGUACGUGUACACGCGUAGGGAGGUCGUUUCUCGUCCCUGUAGUUUGCACGGCACGGUGCACAACGGACGAGAGAAACCGAGAGAGCCAGCAUGGAAGAAAAGGACAAAAAGUAAGAGAACGAGAGAGAAGGCGAUGCACAGACACAGAAACAGAGGAAGAGGCAAGAGGAAGCUGCACAAGCAGUCCUGAACCUUCGAUUUAAUUGAUCGAAAAUUUCCUGUACCGUAACUGC
rnacentral:misc_RNA from 1 species